UACAGAGGUCCCAAGCGUUACUGAGAAUCACUGGGUUUAAAGGGUGCGUAGGUGGUCCGUUAAGUCAGUUGUGAAAUCCCCGGGCUCAACCCGGGAAAUGCUUCUGAUACUGGCGGACUUGAGGCCAGUAGGGGUCACUAGAACUGACGGUGGAGCGGUGAAAUGCGUAGAUAUCGUCAGGAAUGCCGGUGGUGAAGACGGGUGACUGGGCUGGUUCUGACACUGAGGCACGAAGGUCAGGGGAGCGAAACGGG
rnacentral:rRNA from 1 species